AUUGAACGCUGGCGGCAUGCUUUACACAUGCAAGCCGAGCGGCAGCGCGGGGGCAACCCUGGCGGCGAGCGGCGAACGGGUGAGUAAUGCAUCGGAACGUACCCUGGAGUGGGGGAUAACGCCGCGAAAGCGGCGCUAAUACCGCAUAUGCUCUGAGGAGGAAAGUGGGGGACCUGCAAGGGCCUCACGCUCUGGGAGCGGCCGAUGUCCGAUUAGCUAGUUGGUGGGGUAAAGGCUUACCAAGGCGACGAUCGGUAGCUGGUCUGAGAGGAUGAUCAGCCACACUGGGACUGAGACACGGCCCAGACUCCUACGGGAGGCAGCAGUGGGGAAUUUUGGACAAUGGGGGCAACCCUGAUCCAGCCAUGCCGCGUGAGUGAAGAAGGCC
rnacentral:rRNA from 1 species